rnacentral:rRNA from 1 species
UACGAAGGUGGCCAGCGUUGUUCGGAUUUACUGGGCGUACAGGGAGAGUAGGCGGUUGGGUAAGCCCUCCGUGAAAUCUCCGGGCCCAACCCGGAAAGUGCGGAGGGGACUGCCCGGCUAGAGGAUGGGAGAGGAGCGCGGAAUUCCCGGUGUAGCGGUGAAAUGCGUAGAGAUCGAGAGGAAGGCCGGUGGCGAAGGCGGCGCUCUGGAACAUUUCUGACGCUGAGGGUCGAAAGCGUGGGGAGCAAACAGG